UUUCAAAAGGGAGGGUAGGCUGCGAGGCCUAGUUUCCAGCUACAUAGUCAGUAGAGCCCAUCACUGUUCUGCUCUGUCAGAUGCCUGUCAGCCAGCACCAUUGGAAGCAGUAGGAUCCCCACAGGAGGCUGGUAUUACUGAUUGGCUGCUACAAUGAAGAUCUCCGGUCACCGGGAAUAGAAUCUGGCUUUUCAUAAGCUGUACAGCACCCCUGUCACACACCAGCAGCUGCCUCUGCUCCAAGUUGCUGCUCUGAGGCUGCUGCCCAACUGCCAACUGUCUCUGAAGAUGGCUGCAAAUGCCACUGCACAAGAUGUCUCUCUCUGGGAUCAAUACUCCUGUUUCUUAUUGGUCAGUGUCCCCAUGCCAGACACACCACUCAAGGCACAGGUAGCCCUAUCCCUGCUGCUACUUCUUACAAGAUGAUCUUUUAAGGACGGUGCCUUCCUGUAAAUGAAGACUGGUUUCGAUUAUAUCACCUCCCCAAUUAUGGGGUCCCGUUGUAAUAACUUCCAAUUUCUAUUAAAAACGGUUUCAAUUUCACAAUGGCAAUUGUUAAAUUGACUAAUAAAGGCCCACAGGUGUUUAUCAUUGGUCUUA